UUGGGAACCUAGUAUCCACUACAACAUUUAAAAUGGCAGCUCAUGUCUGUGAGUGUUUAGGAGCUGGCUAAAGCUAGCAUUCUCUUAGUCUUUGAUUAAGGGCACCACUUUCAGAUAAAAACAUAGACCUGAAUGGCAUCAUCCAGUCUCCAAGGAAACCAUUGUGUCUGCAACCAGCUAAUGAGCUGCAACAGAGCCUGGCCUUCAUUUUCAGCACAUUAAGUUCAUCCCUCAUAGGAAUUGUGGUCUGGUUGUGGCACCGCCCCUAGAACCUUCCUCCUGGUCACGAGAUGACCGUCAGCAGCAGACAGCAGGGCUACCUGUUUUCCUGUUCAUGUCCUACGGAGCCAUGGAAGCCACUAAGGAACCUCCUUUCCCAGAAAUCCUCAGCAAAUAUAUCCUUAAAUUGUAUCUACACAGUUCUGAAAUACACAUCAUGUGCAGGCAACAUGUCACUUUCCUCCUCCUUCCUCACUUAUCACCUCUACCAUCUCUGGUUAAAGUAGAUAAAAGAGAAUGAGGACAAUGUAACAUAUCAAAAGGGGCCUGGAUGCGACUGCAAUGAAGAAUGUACUCUCGGUGACACAGGCUCCAGCUGCUUGCAAUUAAUCACUCUCACUUAAUUAAUUAAUCAAUUGAAGCUGAUUGAGGCUGCAAAAAGAGUUUAGUGAAGCUGUGUUCAAGCUCCAGCUUUGCUGUUUACUAAUGAGAUGGGUAGUCCCGGUCAAUUUGUUUCACCUCUCAGAAAUCCAGUCUUCUUGUGAGAAUCAAGUGAAAUCCUUGUCAAAGAGCAUUGGUAAUGUCUAUGUUUUCCAAAUGCCAGGCAUUAUUAUUACUGCUCCU